UACGUAGGGGGCUAGCGUUGUCCGGAAUCAUUGGGCGUAAAGAGCGUGUAGGCGGCCCGGUAAGUCCGCUGUAAAAGUCAAAGGCUCAACCUUUGAAUGUCAGUGGAUACUGCCGGGCUAGAGUCCGGAAGAGGCGAGUGGAACUCCUGGUGUAGCGGUGGAAUGCGCAGAUAUCGGGAGGAACACCAGUGGCGAAGGCGGCGAUCUGGGAAGAUACUGACGCUGAGGUGCGAAAGCGUGGGGAGCAAACAGG
rnacentral:rRNA from 1 species